rnacentral:rRNA from 1 species
UACGUAGGGUGCGAGCGUUAAUCGGAAUUACUGGGCGUAAAGCGUGCGCAGGCGGUUUUGUAAGCCAGAUGUGAAAUCCCCGGGCUCAACCUGGGAAUGGCAUUUGGGACUGCAAGGCUGGAGUUUGGCAGAGGAGACUGGAAUUCCUGGUGUAGCAGUGAAAUGCGUAGAUAUCAGGAGGAACACCGAUGGCGAAGGCAGGUCUCUGGGCCACUACUGACGCUGAGAAGCGAAAGCAUGGGGAGCGAACAGG